GAUUUUUGAGGCUAUGGAAUGAGCACUGGGCACAUGGCCUGAGUAAGAUUCCAGAGACUUGCUUCACUCCCUUCUGAGAACAGC